GAUCCUGGCUCAGGACGAACGCUGGCGGCGUGCUUCAUACAUGCAAGUCGAACGAGAAGCUAACUCGGUUAGUGGAAAGUGGCGGACGGGUGAGUAAAAAUGUAGAGAAUCUGCCCUAGAGAGGGGGACAACAGUUGGAAACGACUGCUAAUACCCCAUAUGAGCGUAGCUGAGAUGCUAUUCUUGAAAACUCCGGUGCUCUGGGAUGAGUCUGCAUCUGAUUAGCUAGUUGGCGGUGUAAUGGACCACCAAGGCGACGAUCAGUAGCUGGUUUGAGAGGAUGAUCAGCCACAAUGGGACUGAGACACGGCCCAUACUCCUACGGGAGGCAGCAGUAGGGAAUUUUGCGCAAUGGGGGAAACCCUGACGCAGCAACGCCGCGUGAUUGAAUAAGCCCUUCGGGGUGUAAAGAUCUGUCAGUAGGGACGAAACUUGACGGUACCUACAGAGGAAGCAUCGGCUAACUCCGUGCCAGCCGCCGC
rnacentral:rRNA from 1 species